rnacentral:rRNA from 1 species
GAAAGUAAGCUUGCUAUCUUUGCUGACGAGCGGCGGACGGGUGAGUAAUGCUUGGGAACAUGCCUUGAGGUGGGGGACAACAGUUGGAAACGACUGCUAAUACCGCAUAAUGUCUACGGACCAAAGGGGGCUUCGGCUCUCGCCUUUAGAUUGGCCCAAGUGGGAUUAGCUAGUUGGUGAGGUAAUGGCUCACCAAGGCGACGAUCCCUAGCUGGUUUGAGAGGAUGAUCAGCCACACUGGGACUGAGACACGGCCCAGACUCCUACGGGAGGCAGCAGUGGGGAAUAUUGCACAAUGGGCGCAAGCCUGAUGCAGCCAUGCCGCGUGUGUGAAGAAGGCCUUCGGGUUGUAAAGCACUUUCAGUCAGGAGGAAAGGUUAGUAGUUAAUACCUGCUAGCUGUGACGUUACUGACAGAAGAAGCACCGGCUAACUCCGUGCCAGCAGCCGCGGUAAUACGGAGGGUGCGAGCGUUAAUCGGAAUUACUGGGCGUAAAGCGUACGCAGGCGGUUUGUUAAGCGAGAUGUGAAAGCCCCGGGCUCAACCUGGGAACUGCAUUUCGAACUGGCAAACUAGAGUGUGAUAGAGGGUGGUAGAAUUUCAGGUGUAGCGGUGAAAUGCGUAGAGAUCUGAAGGAAUACCGAUGGCGAAGGCAGCCACCUGGGUCAACACUGACGCUCAUGUACGAAAGCGUGGGGAGCAAACGGGAUUAGAUACCCCGGUAGUCC